rnacentral:lncRNA from 10 species
ACUCAGGAGGCUGAGGCAGGAGAAUCACUUGAAUUCGGGAGGUGGAGGUUACAGUGAGCUGAGAUUGCACCAUUGCACUCCAGCCUGGGCAACAGAGCAAGACUGUCUCAAAAAAAAAAAAAAAAAGAAAAGAAAAGAAAAAGAAAAAAAGAAACCAGGAACCAGGACUCCUUGGAAAAACGGCUGAUUCCAGGUCAAAGUCAGGGAAAAUGCAAGGUGAGCCUGGAACACCUUUUUGUGCCAGAAAGUAAGAAAAUGCUCAGAGAUUAAGGGGAGCAUAUCAAAAGGAAAGAGUUAUAUCUGUUAAGAGUAUAGUAUCCAGAAUACAUAAAUAACUCUUACAACCCAAUGAUAAAAAGUCAAAUAGGCUGGGUGCAGUGACUCAUGUCUAUAAUCCCAGCACUUUGGGAGGCUGAGACACAAGCAAGACCCUCAAAACAAACACAAAAAACACAAAAGGCAAAUAACCUAAUUUUAAAAUGAGCAAAGAAUCUGAAUAGACAUUUCUCCAAAGAUAUAUAAAUGGCCAAUACACACAUCAAAAGAUGCUCCUUAACAUCGUUAGUCACUGAGAUACCCACCACCUUCAUACUCAUGAGGAUGGUUGUAAUUUUUAAAAACCAAAAAAACCAGGCUGGGUGUGGUGGCUCACACCUAUAACUCCAGCACUUUGGGAGGCCAAGGCGGGAGAACCACUGGAGGCCAGGAGUUCAAGACCAGACUUGACAACCCCCAGCUCUAAAAAAUAAGAUAAAAUAAAUAUGGCUUUACAAUGUUAUUCUUUCCAGAAUUUCUGACAAUUUCAAGUGAGACAGGUAAACAUUUUUAGUUAUGUGAUCAGAUACCCCAUAUGAUUAGCAGAAAAUUCAAUGUAUCUCCAGUGGGAUGAUUCACCAUAAAGAAAGCCACCAAAACUUGUAAGCAGUCUGGAUUCGUGUUUAUUGAAGCCAGUAAUUAGAGACAUCUUUUUUUCCCAGGACUAGAAAGCAAGGUUCCACAUGACUGCAUACUGCACCCGGACAGAGCCACACCCCUGGACUAAGGCUGGUGGGGGAUAAUCUGCAGUCUUACUUUUAAGUUAGAAACACCAAUAAAUUUAGUAUACAGACGACAGUGAACUUUCACUUACAGCAUUAACAUUGUUAAGGUCAUGAUGUACAGAGCAGUCACUUUCAACUUUGUUAAAUUAAUAAAACAUGACAAUGUCUUCAGUUUAAAUACCGAUUUUAAAAUGCCAAUCAAAAAAAAGUGCAAACAAAAUAACAAUCUAGCAGCAUUAUCUGUUGCAUUUUUAGGAAAGACCAAUUCUUGGCUGUUAUCUUCAGCCACGUAUUCAAAGGUGGGCUUUUCUCUGAUUUUUUUUUUUAUUUUAAAGACAAAAAGCAGAUGUAACCAUUAUAAUGUGCAUAAAUAGUCAUAAAAUUGUCUUUAACAGUCUACCAUACAAGUGUACUCUGCAAAUAAAAUGAAUUUUACUUUAAAAACUAAAGGCUGUUUAUUAUUUGGCCUUUGGUUCCAAUGCUUGAAAACCCCAAAAUAACAAAACUCAUCUCCCUUCCUCCCACCUCCCAAAAAGAACCCUGCAGCUCCCCAAAGUUGGUAGACUUUGGCAACCACUGAGCACAUGACACUAUGUAUCAGCUUCUUCUGAUACUAGGAGCUUCCACUUCUCAUGAGUAAAUAAAAGUGGUCUCCAAGAAACCUUCCUUCACAAGACAUGUCUUAGCAUUUCAUCAGUUUUAGUAUAUUUUAUAUUGACACAAAAAGUGCUUAUCAGUUCAAAUGAUAAAAAAUAAAGACAAAUUAAAAUUUUGCAUUAAAAUUUAAAAUUAUACCAUAUUCCUCUUCGGCAUGUGCCUUUCCAGGAAUUCUUGUUUCUGAGGUCACUCAUUUUACUCCCGGGGACUAAGCGACCCCACCUUUAGUGAGGCCACAAGCUGUUUGGCAUCUAUUGGUCACUAUACCACAAUUAUCAUUCUACAGUCAGUUUACUGUCAUUACCUAGACAACCUGGUAACUACCAACAGGACCAAAUGUGCAAACGGGCAGGGCAUGAUUGAGAUACUGCCGUGAGCCAUGCAGCCUUCG